GCCUCAGUACGGCGAGUGAAGCGGCAAAAGCUCAAAUUUGAAAUCUAGCACCUUCGGUGUUCGAGUUGUAAUUUGAAGAUGGUAACCUUGGGUUUGGCUCUUGUCUAUGUUCCUUGGAACAGGACGUCAUAGAGGGUGAGAAUCCCGUCUGAUGAGAUGCCCAUUCCUAUGUAAGGUGCUAUCGAAGAGUCGAGUUGUUUGGGAAUGCAGCUCUAAGUGGGUGGUAAAUUCCAUCUAAAGCUAAAUAUUGGCGAGAGACCGAUAGCGAACAAGUACAGUGAUGGAAAGAUGAAAAGAACUUUGAAAAGAGAGUGAAAAAGUACGUGAAAUUGUUGAAAGGGAAGGGCAUUAGAUCAGACUUGGUGUUUUACGAUUAUCUUCUCUUCUUGAGUUGUGCACUCGUAUUUCACUGGGCCAGCAUCGAUUCGGAUGGCAAGAUAAUGGCAGUUGAAUGUGGCUUCACUUCGGUGGAGUGUUAUAGCUUCUGCUGAUAUUGCCUGUCUGGAUCGAGGGCUGCGUCUUUUGACUAGGAUGCUGGCGUAAUGAUCUAAUGCCGCCCGUCUUGACCCCCC
rnacentral:rRNA from 1 species